GGCAGCGUGGCCUAGUGGUUAGAGCACGGGCCCCGGGAGUCAGAAGGACCUGGGUUCUAAUCCCAGCUCUGCCG
rnacentral:tRNA from 1 species